CAGGCCUAACACAUGCAAGUCGAGCGGAAACGAGUUAUCUGAACCUUCGGGGAACGAUAACGGCGUCGAGCGGCGGACGGGUGAGUAAUGCCUAGGAAAUUGCCCUGAUGUGGGGGAUAACCAUUGGAAACGAUGGCUAAUACCGCAUAAUGCCUACGGGCCAAAGAGGGGGACCUUCGGGCCUCUCGCGUCAGGAUAUGCCUAGGUGGGAUUAGCUAGUUGGUGAGGUAAGGGCUCACCAAGGCGACGAUCCCUAGCUGGUCUGAGAGGAUGAUCAGCCACACUGGAACUGAGACACGGUCCAGACUCCUACGGGAGGCAGCAGUGGGGAAUAUUGCACAAUGGGCGCAAGCCUGAUGCAGCCAUGCCGCGUGUGUGAAGAAGGCCUUCGGGUUGUAAAGCACUUUCAGUCGUGAGGAAGGUAGUGUAGUUAAUAGCUGCAUUAUUUGACGUUAGCGACAGAAGAAGCACCGGCUAACUCCGUGCCAGCAGCCGCGGUAAUACGGAGGGUGCGAGCGUUAAUCGGA
rnacentral:rRNA from 1 species